GACGUAGGGGGCAAGCGUUGUCCGGAAUCAUUGGGCGUAAAGAGCGCGUAGGCGGCCCUGUAAGUCCGCUGUGAAAGUCAAGGGCUCAACCCUUGAAUGCCGGUGGAUACUGCAGGGCUAGAGUCCGGAAGAGGCGAGUGGAAUUCCUGGUGUAGCGGUGAAAUGCGCAGAUAUCAGGAGGAACACCGAUUGCGAAGGCAGCUCGCUGGGACGUCACUGACGCUGGAGACGCGAAAGCGUGGGGAGCAAACAGG
rnacentral:rRNA from 1 species